UGGUGGGGCCCACCCGGGCCCCGCAUCUUCCUCUGCCUCAGCUCGCCCGCGUGGACGCACACGGCGCUGUCGCCGCCCCGUGCUUUGGCAAGCACGCCCGGCGCCUCACCUCCCUGCCGUGACCCCUCGCCUCCUCUCACCACCUCACCCUCCCAUGCAAGUAACGGCUGCCCGUUUCCCCUCCAUCUCCUCUACCCAUUCACUCCAAGAAGGAAUGGCCGCCAUGCCAUUAAUGGCGUUGAAGACACCGACCGUUCUCCCUCUCUCUACGACGUCCCUCCCUCCUCCUUCUCUCUAUAAAACGCGAGCUCGUGCACAUGGAGCUGAUUCUUGGUCGCCCCAACCUCUCCAUGAUCUCUCCCUCUCUCCCGCCGUAGAGAAUCGCUGUCGGUUCGCUGCUCGCCGCCGUUCGACGUCCGGAGCCGAAGCCGAUGCCGCGCCGACGACCCCCACUGCUGAGGUCGUGCCCUGCUUCCCCUUGCUGCUCCAUCGGUCAUCGCACCCUGCUCCUUUACCGACCCCCUGCUCUUCAAUUUCGUCCACACGCAAGAACCAAGGGUGAGGAAGAAGACUUUGCAGAUGAUGUCGACAAGUACUAAGUCUACCGAUGCGCCAGUCACCUUCCUGUGGAAGAGUGUCCAAGCUUAAUUCUGUUGUACUUUGAUAAUGAUACUUUUUAAGACACUAUGGUCUGGAUGAUGUAAUAAAGUUACUCUACUCUCUUUACGCCUUUAUUGCAUUGUCUUUUAAUA